GCUCACCUCAAGAAUGAAGCUGCAGACAUUUACGGUGUGUGUUACAGCAUUUAAAGGUGUUAGGUCCAGAGUUUGUUCCUUCAGAUGUGUGCAGAGUUUCUUCCUUCUGGCAGGUUCAUGGUAUUGCUCACUUCAAUAAUAAAGCUGCAGACCUUAGUGGUGUGUUUUACAGCACUUAAAUGUGUUAUGUCCAGAGUUUCUUCCUUCAGAUGUGUCCAGAGUUUCUUCCUUCUGGCUGGUUCAUGGUCUUGCUCACCUCAAGAAUG
rnacentral:lncRNA from 1 species